rnacentral:lncRNA from 1 species
GUUUGACUAAGUCAUUUGCCUGUCAAGGGGAAUUCUCUCAAAAGGCAGGAUUUCUAAAUGGUCUCUGCUUUUUUUCUUUUUUCUUCUUUUCUGUGUUACAGUGAUUCUUGCUGCCUGAUGCCACAAUUACGACUUUAUUUUCUAGGUGUGAUGGAGCCCCCAUUCCCCUCUGUAUCUGGAUAUUUUGUGGCCAUUCUUUGCUUCCAGAUAGUAGUACUCGCUUCAGCUCCGUGCCACAGCCCUACAACACUGCACUUAGAAGAGAGAGGCGAACAUCUAACAUCUCCCCUCGGGAAUCCCGAAUUCUCACUGAAAAAUCAUAAUAAACAUAUCACUUAUACUUAAGAGCAAACCACAGUUGUUUAUGCGACAAUAUGAAUUAUAAGUUUAGGAGGACCUCAGAUAAAGGAGUUGUUGUGAGCUGGGACCAUCCACAAAUUUUCCUGAGCACAUCAGGCCUUAAGUCUAAUAAUUCAGGUUCCUUAUGGUGAGAAGGAUCAAAAUUCUUGGCAGAGUCAGGAAUGAAGGUGGUGGAGUUGAAAGGAGCAAAAAUUAAGAGGCUGGGAGGAGUAGGUCAUAGUUAUUUACAGCUUCAGAACAAAUCAUGCCCAUGCCUAGUGAUUUAAAAUGACAACCAUUCUGCCAUAUCUCACAACUUUGUGGGUCAGGAAUUCUUGUUCCCCGUGACAAAGACUGAGGUCGCUUGUAUUCAGCUGGUGGGAUGGCCCAAUGGGCCCAAGGCAGCUUCACUCACUUGUCUGGUGCUUUGGUGGAAUAAGCUGGAAGGCUGGAGUCAGCUGGGACUGUCAGCUAGAUUGUCAAUACGUGGCCUUUCUACCAUGGUGGUGUCAAGGCGGUCAGGCUUCAGAUACGGCAGUUCAGGGCUUCCAGAAAGAAUGUUACCAAAAAAAGAAAAAGGAAAAAAAAAAAAAAGAAAAAGGACAAGAGCUGAGAUGGAAGUUGCUCAUUCCUUAAAAUAGACCCAGAAGAGGUUGCAGCUUGUCUUCUGCCAUGUUCUACUGGGCAAAGCCAUCACAGAACACACAGCUUCAAGAGGAGACGUUCCUUCUCUUUUCAGAAAGAGCAUCAAAAAAACCUGUGGCCAUAUUUAAUCCACCCCAAAUGGACACUGAGAAAAGCAACUGGAAUAUUCGAUAAGUGAAGACCGAUUAUUGUUCAGCAUAGCAGUCCACACGCCGCCUCUGGACAGUGGUCUCUUCGUUAAGUAUGGACAGAGCGUCUGCUACGUUCUGGCACUAUCAUCCCUGGAGACGAUAAUGAGAAUUUUUAAAAGGGAAUAAAACAGAGACUCUGCAUGGCUCA